ACAUGCUUAAAAGCAGUUUAAAAGAAAAAGGACGGUACAGAGACAGAUUGCGUCCGGAUGCGAAGAGACGGUACUUGCAGAAAAUAGCGUGCAUUGGAAAUGUGGACCCGUAUGAAAUAUGGCAGUGGAGUAUAAACCCUGAAGACCUACGCUAUUGACGUAGCCUGAUAUAUUUUCGUACCUUGUCUGUGGAAUCAGCGCGUACAAGGUGAACCAGUUUCGCAAUUAUAAAUCUCUGGAGGGACACAUCCAAUUCACCAAAGAUUGGGUACAAGAUUUGUGAGUACGUCGUCAUUCAAACAAAGGUACUGCAGUCUAAAAGACUGAAUGAACCAGCAUUGCAGCCAUGGGUCAUUGUGAGCAUCACAGGGAAGGUUGAAGCCGCCCACUGCACCUGUAUGGCCAGAGUCGUGGAGACCUGCACCCAUGUCGCUGCUCUUCUGUUUAAAGUAGAAGCAACAGUGCGGAUCCGUGGCACAAGAACUGUUACAGGUGAACCUGCAUACUGGGUUUUGCCUGAUAAUAUGACCAAGAUACAGCCAGAGGUUGGCCAUAAGAUAGACUUCUCCUCUUCAGCUGCCCCAAAAAAGGCUCUCAAUCAAAACAUAAACAGACCAUCCGUAUUGAAAGGUAAAAGGAGCCGUCCUCAAAAAAGAAAAAUCCCACCUGCUACUGUGGAGGAGUUGUCACUGCUAUUGGAUACUUUGCUGGAACACAGUAAAGCUGUGGGUUGUGGGAAUGACCCAUAGUGUUUUAUCUA